GACCGGUUUGGACCAGCCGGAUGUGCAGCCUUGUAAAUCGGAACACUGGGUCAGCUCUUGUCCAUAUGUGAACACUAUCGGCCGCCUCGCAUCUCUCGUUCUUUGCUUUCUUGUUAUUUCCUAUUUUGUUUUUUAAAUUCAGAGUUAAUUUUGGUUUUUCAGAAAGAGAGAGGAAAAUUGUGAGUAGGGGUUUUGAAGAAUUCGAUUGCAUGCGAUAAGAUGGGAGAAUUUGAAGAGAUUGGAGUUGAUAUGUGCAUGUUGGGUGACAGCUCUGAUAUAGAAGUUGAUGAGGUAAGGUGUGAAAAUAUCGCGGAGAAAGAUGUCAGUGAUGAAGAGAUUGAAGCAGAGGAAUUGGAGAGACGAAUGUGGAAGGACCGUAUUAAACUCAAGAGGAUCAAGGAAAGACAAAAGAUCACAGCCCAACAGGCUGCCGAGAAGCAGAAGCCCAAACCGAAUGCUGAUCAUGCUCGGAGGAAGAAAAUGUCUAGAGCGCAAGAUGGGAUUCUUAAAUACAUGCUGAAGCUGAUGGAGGUGUGCAAAGCUCGUGGGUUCGUGUAUGGGAUCAUUCCUGAGAAGGGUAAACCAGUAAGUGGUGCAUCUGACAAUAUAAGAGCUUGGUGGAAAGAAAAGGUGAAGUUUGAUAAGAAUGGGCCAGCAGCCAUAGCCAAAUAUGAGGCAGAAUGCCUUGCCAUGGUCGAAAAUGAGAAUAAUCGAAAUGGAAAUUCUCAAAGCACCCUUCAAGACCUGCAGGAUGCAACGUUGGGGUCACUUUUGUCUUCCUUGAUGCAACACUGUGAUCCGCCUCAGAGGAAGUAUCCACUAGAGAAGGGUGUUCCGCCACCUUGGUGGCCUUCAGGGAAUGAGGAUUGGUGGGUUAAAUUAGGUUUAGCGAGAAGCCAAAGUCCUCCUUAUAAGAAACCACAUGAUCUGAAAAAGAUGUGGAAAGUUGGAGUGUUAACAGCUGUGAUCAAGCAUAUGUCACCUGAUAUUUCUAAGAUCAGGAGGCUUGUUCGGCAGUCGAAAUGCUUACAGGAUAAGAUGACUGCAAAGGAGAGCUCGAUUUGGUUGGGGGUUUUGAACCGAGAGGAAUCCCUCAUCCGGCAGCCUAGCAGUGAUAAUGGGACAUCUGGCAUCACUGGAACACCUCCAAAUGGUCAUGAUGGAAAGAACAAAGUCGCUGUUAGCAGUGACAGUGAUUAUGAUGUUGAUGGUGUUGAUGAUGGUGUGGGCUCUGUUUCAUCCAAAGAUGACAGGAGAAAUCAGCAGAUGGAUAUAGCGUCAUUUGAAGAUGAUCGCGAUAAUAGUGGUGCCCAGCCUGUCCAAGAUAAAAAAAAGGGGCGAAAACAACUUAAGAGAAAGAGACCCCAUGUGAAAUCCAGGCCUGUCAAUCAAGAGUCUGCACCAUCUCUAGAAGAGAAUCUACAUGAGGAGUCAAGAAACUCUCUGCAACAUCUACAUAAUGAGCCAAGAAAUUCUUUGCCUGAUAUAAACCACAAUGAUGCUCAGUUGGCUCCAUACGAGAUGCUUGGCACCCAACAGGAAAAUGAUAGAGUCACAUCUUUGAGGCCUCUGGAGAAAGAUCUUGAGAAUCAAUCCCAGUUACCAGAACCUGAAUUUAACCAUUUCUCUGCUUUUCCUUCUGCCAAUGCAAUCUCCACGCAGAGCAUGUAUGUGGGUGGCAGGCCUUUGCUUUACCCUGCAGUGCAAAAUGCUGAGUUGCAUCAUGGAACUCCUUAUGAAUUCUAUAAUCCACCAUCUGAUUAUGGGCACAAUCCUGAUGGACAACAAUCCCAUAUGGCAAUGAAUGAAACCCAGAUGAGGCUGGAGGAUGGCAGAAUUCACGAACCUGAACUAAAUAGAAAUGGAAAUGAUAUUUCUGGUGGUAACUUGCGUCAUUAUGUAAAAGACACAUUUCAUAGUGGGCAAGAUAGACCUGUGGAAAGUCAUUAUGGGUCUCCAAUCGAGAGCCUGUCACUAGAUUUUGGAGGAUUCAAUAGUCCGUUUGAUCUUGGAAUUGAUGGGACUUCAUUAGGUACCCCUGAUAUAGACUAUUUGCUUGACGAUGACUUGAUCCAAUACUUCGGAGCAUAGAUUGUGAGAUUCGGCAAAUUCAAUUUCAAGCAAAUAUUGCUCCGAAAAAAGUUCUGCAUCUUUUGCUGACUGGAGUGAAUAACUUCUACCUAUAUUCUUUGGACAUGUUACCAUAGCUGGUGUAGUCAUUUAUGGAUCUCACAACGAGGAGCUUGUCUUUUGGCUUGGCCGUAUUCAAGUAGGGUUUUGGGUUUAGGGUGGAGAAAAAUUGGAGAAGAUCACAAGGUUAAGCAUCUGUGUGGGUAUUAUGGAUCCUAAUGAUGCAGAUUUUGAGGUAAAAGAAUGAUCAAUCUGGAAGCUGGUGAAUCAGGAAGAUGGAUAAAGAUGUGAGGGGUUUUGUGAAAAUUUUCUGUUUUACAUCAAGGAAAAUGUUUUCUAUCAUAAAAUACGCGGUCAAAAUGCCUUUAUUGUAAUUUAGGACGUUUAAAGCACGGCGGCACGACAUGUCAGGGUGAUCAAUGUGGGGGCCACGGCAAUGAUUGGAGCCUUUUGGACGUCGUCUUACAAACAGACAAACUUAGCUGCUCUCUGUCUCUCGAUGCAUCAUUCCCCGCGUGUCCGCAGUCGAGCUACCGACUUGGUGAAUGACAAUGUUACCCCACUCUAAAUUAAGCUCCGAUGUUGUUGGUGGUCAUUUUAGCUUACUUCGAGGUUAGAACUGUCUUUCUAACCCUAAUGAGAAAGAAAAAAAAUUCAAAGGCUUCGUCAGGAUAUGUGAUAUAUGAUAAUACAUGUCACCAUUUUCUUCUGUAUACUGUGAAGAAAUUAAGGAGGAGAUGGAAAAGAGGAGGUCUGGGGUUGAUUUCCACAUUUUUGCUAAUUUUAAUGGUGAUUUCACCUCCAUUUUUCCACACUUCUCCUACUAGUAAGCCUCUCUCUCUCAGAAACACCCAUUUUCUCUUUUCCCAAACUCUGGUGACUAAUAUAUUCAUAGCCCUGGUUUUUGAAGGUGGAAGAAAAAUGGCAGGUCAGUACAAGACCAGGCAGGCAGAAAUGGUAAAAUAAAAAGAGAAAAACCCUCUUCCUUGAAUACCCAUGUCUAUUAAUUUCAGCUCUGAAAUGGGUUCUCUCCAUCUUUCUUUUUAAUGGUGUUUUUUGCUUUGCUUUUUCCUUUUUCCUUUUUUUGGGGGAAGAAGGAAGUAGAGAGUAGCAGAGGUAAUGGUAAUGGCGUAGAAGACUAUGAAAGGCAAGUUCCAACUGGACCUGACCCACGUCACCACAACUCCAACCCUUCUCCUUAAAUACAACCUCUUCCUAUGUAUCCUGGGAUUCUCACCAGAGCUUUUGUUUUUUUGUUUUUUAUUUUUUAUUUUUUUUAAUUUUAUUUAUGCAGAUUAAUUAUACAGUCUCCUACUGCUAGCUAUGUAUUAGGGUUUUGUUUAACAUGUGAAAGCAAGUUCCAUCAA